AACCCUGUAUCACAUGAAAUACGUUCUGAGGAAACUAUUUUGCAAAUCGCAAUUACGUUACAUGCCAACAUAUAAGCAGUGCUAUUACGUUGGUCCUUAACCUAAUAUAAGCAGUGCUAUUACGUUGGUCCUUAACCUAAUAUAGCCAAUUUAUUGCAGUGCUAUUACGUUUGUCCUGAACAUAUACAUCCAAAGCAUAGAUUAAAUCGUACUAUACCAUACGAUACUGUUCAUCGCAUUCAAGAAGCGAGACCCGUAGCCAGAAAAAAACCUCUGGGUGUGCAUCAUAAAAACUGUGUGUGUCACAGGCAAGAAAACCAGAAACGCUGAGGAAUUCAGGUGCUGUAAAUCCGGUGGACAGGACUCAUCUCGUUAUAGAUCAAGAUAAUUUAUAACAGAUAGUUGACAUGGUGUGCCACUGUGGGUGGCUCCCGCACACCCGUGGCUACGCCCCUGCCGUGACCCAAAUCUCGUUCGCACAUCAUCGCGAUGUUUAUCAUCUAUUUACAAACGUAGCCAGUCGCCACAUCUUUUUUCUUCACAUACAUCUCAUACUCUUCCAUCUACACGCUCCACAACAUUUAAACCAAUGGCUUUUUUAAGAGCCAUCACUUGCAAAAGCUCUCCUACUCACUCACUCACUCACUCACUCUCCAACUCACUCACUCUCCAACUCACCCACUCACUCACUCUCCAACUCACUCUCCAACUCACCCACUCACUCACUCUCCAACUCACUCACUCACUCACUCACUCACUCUCCUAUAGGGCUGUGCAAAAAAUC